UAGCCGAGACUAUGAUCGUAACAAGACAUAUAGAGGCAGAGGUGCUAACAGGUACGACAGACGAGUUAAUUUUCGAGGUAGGUCUCCUGCGGAAGUUAGAAAUCGUGGUGCAUAUGCUAAUGCAAUUUGUAAUUAUUGCAAAAAACGAGGUCAUCUGAGAAGAGACUGUUUCAGUUUAAAGAAUAGGAACUCGGUGCACCAUGUAGAGAAGGGUGACAAAGACACCAGCUAUGAUUUCAAGAGACAAGGUGGACAGGACAGCUCGGGCGAUGAAACAGAUGGAAUGGAAUGCUUGAUGAUUUCUGCUAUUAAGAAGUUAAAUGAACCGUGCAUGAUCAAAACAAGGGUGCAAAACUGUUUUUUGAAAAUGGAAAUAGAUUCUGGCUCUGCGGUUUCUGUUAUAAGUGAAACUGAUUGUAGGAAAUUUUUCAAAGAUAUUUUGAUGCGUAGCUCUAGUAGACAGCUAAUUGUUGUUGAUGGUGCUCGGUUAAGGAUUCUUGGAGAAAUUUCUGUGCAAGUAGAGCUUAACAGUAUAGUGGCACAACAAAAACUUGUUGUUUUAAAAUGCAACAACAAUUUUGUUCCCUUGAUUGGAAGGUCAUGGCUGGACUGUUUCUUCCCUGGGUGGCGUUCUAAUUUUACUAAUGCUGCAGUGGUGAAUAGCUUGAAUGAAAAGAAAGGCUAUGAGGGGGAACUGAUACUAAAAAAAGAACAACCUAUUUUCAAGAAGGCCUAUACGGUACCCUACAAAUUGAAGGACAAACUGUCGCAACAUUUGCAGAUGCUGGAGCAACAGAAGAACGACGAUCAUGGCCCACAGAAACCAGUUGAAGAUGGCUCAUUCUCCGAUUCGAGGCACGAUGAUGUUACUCCCAGAAAUCAACCGAAGGAAGCGCAGUCGUGCUGAAUACGACGAAACCGCAUACCACGGGUUUCCAGGAUCCGAGGACGAUGAAGAGCCAUUUAUGGGGUUCCCAGAUUCAGCCAUUAUUGACCCGAAUCCAACUGAAUUGAAGCGACAGAAACAGAGUGAUAGCCUGAUCAUGACCAGGAGUCGAGCUCGAAAAAUGAACAACAAUGAUCGCGAUCUGAACUUUUAAAAAGAAACAUGC